UAGGGAUUCAAAAGGCGAAGACUCAGGGUUUUCUUUUGUCAAUUGCACAGUGAAUGGAACUGAGAAUAGUGUUGACCUGGGAAGAGCUGGGGGUAAAUAUGCAAGAACUGUGUAUUCUUACUGUGAUUUGGAUAUCAAUAUAUCUGGACAACGAUGGAGUGAUUAGGGAGAUGAAUCAAGAAGAAGGGCUGUGCAGCAUAGAGAAU